rnacentral:rRNA from 1 species
GACGAACGCUGGCGGCGUGCCUAAUACAUGCAAGUCGAACGCUUCUUUCCUCCCGAGUGCUUGCACUCAAUUGGAAAGAGGAGUGGCGGACGGGUGAGUAACACGUGGGUAACCUACCCAUCAGAGGGGGAUAACACUUGGAAACAGGUGCUAAUACCGCAUAACAGUUUAUGCCGCAUGGCAUAAGAGUGAAAGGCGCUUUCGGGUGUCGCUGAUGGAUGGACCCGCGGUGCAUUAGCUAGUUGGUGAGGUAACGGCUCACCAAGGCCACGAUUCAUAGCCGACCUGAGAGGGUGAUCGGCCACACUGGGACUGAGACACGGCCCAGACUCCUACGGGAGGCAGCAGUAGGGAAUCUUCGGCAAUGGACGAAAGUCUGACCGAGCAACGCCGCGUGAGAGAAGAAGGUGUUCGGAUCGUAAAACUCGGUUGUUAGAGAAGAACAAGGACGUUAGUAACUGAACGUCCCCUGACGGUAUCUAACCAGAAAGCCACGGCUAACUACGUG